rnacentral:piRNA from 1 species
CAGAUCAGGAUUGCUGAAGGAGAGCUGAGU